CUGCUUGUCUGGGCAGCACAUACACUAAAACUGGAACAAUAGAGAAGACUAAUAUGGCUUACACAAGGAUGACUCACAAUUCAUGAAAUGCUUCAUAUUUUA
ensembl:snRNA U6 U6 spliceosomal RNA